rnacentral:miRNA from 1 species
AGAUGAUGAUGAUGAUGAUGAUGAUGAUGCUGCUGCAACCAUCGUCAUCGUCAUCAUUCCGC